rnacentral:rRNA from 1 species
CCAAUAGCGUAUAUUAAAGUUGUUGCAGUUAAAAAGCUCGUAGUUGAAUUUCGGGAUCAGUACGCUGGUCGUGCCUCCGGUACGUACUGGUGUCACUGAUUCCUCCCUUCUGACGAACCAUCAUGCCAUUCAUUUGGUGUGGUGGGAAAUCAGGACUGUUACUUUGAAAAAAUUAGAGUGUUUAAAGCAGGCUCACGCUUGAAUACAUUAGCAUGGAAUAAUGAAAUAGGACGUUGACCCUAUUUUGUUGGUUUCUAGGAUUGACGUAAUGAUUAAUAGGGAUAGUUGGGGGCAUUAGUAUUCAAUUGUCAGAGGUGAAAUUCUUGGAUUUAUUGAAGACUAACUACUGCGAAAGCAUUUGCCAAGGAUGUUUUCAUUAAUCAAGAACGAAAGUUAGGGGAUCGAAGACGAUCAGAUACCGUCGUAGUCUUAACCAUAAACUAUGCCGACUAGGGAUCGGAUGAUGUUGAUUUUUUAAUGACUCAUUCGGCGCCUUACG